CUCGCCAAAUUAAUUCGGACCGGACCGCACAAGCGAGUGGUUAGUGCGCGCGGUUUUAAAAUAGUAAUUUCCGCAUACAAGUUAUAUUGCGAAGAUCAAGUAGUGGUUUUUGGACAGCAUCUGUUGUGUGCCUGUAAGGUCUACACUAAAACAAGACCAGCGUGGUAGACAUUGUGUAGGAAAAUUAGCCAACUGUAUUAAAAGGGUAAGGUAAAUCACCUUCGUCUUACACGUGUCACACGUUAGAAGUGAGAACAAAAUCUAGGAGAAAAAGGUCCAUAAAGGGCCUUUUUCCUUUCCUUUGUCUCAUCCAGUUAUUGUCGGGGAAGGACGCCAUCUUAAUUUCCGAGGACAAUACCGGUCGGAAAGACAAAGCCGAAGCUACUACCGACUAUUGUUGGAGUGUGCAAACUACUCGCAGGUCCGGAGUCCGCCAUCUGUAAUCCGUCUUUAUCUGGGCGACUCGGUAAAUGAUCGCCCGUGACACAACCAACGGCUCCAAUUGGUAAUAGCCCGGCGGAAUUCGAGGAUUGUAGAAUUCCCCUUCCGACCAAACCCCAGCGCCGAUGCAUGCAAUUCCGGUACAGACUCACGGAGAGAUCGAUACGAGCACCGUAUAACGUAGCGGCUUCGCCCACCCACCGUCGCCCCGCUGUAUCAUCUGUACACGGUCAAUACUCCGCUAAUCCCAACGCUGCAAACACAAUCGCAAGUAGAUCAAUUUGUGACGUCACAAUAGUUAUGUAAGCCAUGGCCAAAUAAGCAUAAUCGUUCUCCCAAUUUAUGUAAACUAGCUUAAAAUAUAAAAAUGCGCAUGUAAA